ensembl:lncRNA
CAGCGGUUGAGACAUCGCUUGCCGUAGAACAUAGUUCUGACAGACAAUUGCAACAGAUAGUCGGGGGUUGGAACAUACUUAUAAAUAAUUUGUAGACUGCAAAUUGACUGCAAGAAGCCCAAACAGAUCUGGGUCCUGGCUCUCUCUGUGUGUUUUGCCUCCACCAUCGGCACCUUCCCGGCAGUGAAUGAGGAUGUCAAGUCUACCAUCGCUGAUGGAGGCACCUGGUGUGUGUGUGUGUGGUACAUGUAUAUGUGUAUGAAUAUCUAUGAUAAGAGCAUGGUUUAUGAGUCCAUAUUAGAGUAUGUGACUUGUCAUCUUGCAAGCCUUUACAAAAGUAUCAUGUUCAAUAAUUCACAAUCAAU